GUCAGGAUAGCUCAUUUGGUAGAGCAGAGGACUGAAAAUCCUCGUGUCCCUUUUGUGAGUUUUGGUG
rnacentral:tRNA from 1 species